rnacentral:rRNA from 1 species
AUUGAACGCUGGCGGCAGGCCUAACACAUGCCAGUCGAACGGUAACAGGAAGAAGCUUGCUUCUUUGCUGACGAGUGGCGGACGGGUGAGUAAUGUCUGGGAAACUGCCUGAUGGAGGGGGAUAACUACUGGAAACGGUAGCUAAUACCGCAUAACGUCGCAAGACCAAAGAGGGGGACCUUCGGGCCUCUUGCCAUCGGAUGUGCCCAGAUGGGAUUAGCUAGUAGGUGGGGUAACGGCUCACCUAGGCGACGAUCCCUAGCUGGUCUGAGAGGAUGACCAGCCACACUGGAACUGAGACACGGUCCAGACUCCUACGGGAGGCAGCAGUGGGGAAUAUUGCACAAUGGGCGCAAGCCUGAUGCGGCCAUGCCGCGUGUAUGAAGAAGGCCUUCGGGUUGUAAAGUACUUUCAGCGGGGAGGAAGGGAGUAAAGUUAAUACCUUUACUCAUUGACGUUACCCGCAGAAGAAGCACCGGCUAACUCCGU